UAGUGUUAAAGACGACUGCAUUUUCUUUAAAAAUCCCUUCUGAAAGCAUUGAAAUAUUUUUGACCUGAUUUCCGCAACUUAAAAGCAAAUAGUUGCUAUUUCGAUCAACCGAGCAUCAUCGUAUUAAAACAUGAAAUGAAAGUUACUCCAGCCAAUAUAAAGUAGGUACGCCAAGUGUAUAUUAAAAAUCCGGGUAUUAAAAAUGCUUAAGAAUUUUGUUUCGUGCAUGUCUGUGAAAUCUACAUGUUGAAAUUUUAAUUGAAGCUGUGCGCUAAUAGUAGUUUUCGGCGAAAAUUACAGUACGCAAAUUUUAGUCAAAAAACAAACGGUCAAACUGCAAUGUUCACGAACAUUUUUGAUCGCAACGAACAAGUUGGUUUUUUGACUAAAUUUUCAUGCAGGAAAUGUCUAACGUCGGUCACCAAAACGUCAUACCAAAUCCGUCCCACUUUUAAGUGGAACCUUAAUACCAAACCCGUUCCACUUUUAAGUUUUUUUUUUUUAUUUAUUUAAAUAAUACCCUCGAGUUCAGCAUAAAAACAGGCAGUGGCAGUGGUGGAAAUUCAGUGAACUUAGAACUUCACUUACGCUAGCAAAGUUGUUUGGUGCGUUUGCAAAACCAAAGGUAAGUAUA